ensembl:lncRNA
UGUGGUUUGAUGAUUUCCUUUUAUACUUGUGUCCUCUUCUUGGUUUUUGUGAAUGUAUUGUUUUAGAUUUGUGCUUGCCCUGCUUUUCCGGCAUGUUAACCCCUUCCUGUAUCUGCUUGCUUUAGACUGAUAGUCCUAUAGGUUCAAAUUCAUUCUACAAAAAAAAAAGUCUAGGUUUUCUUCCUCUAUUUCCAACAUUUUAUGAUUUUGAUUCCCUAUCUUACAUUUUCAUACUUAUCCUUUUGCUGUUCCUGGGUUCAUCAUCACUUUCACAAAAGGCUUUUUUUCUUUGUGAUCUGUACGCUGGCUCAUUCAAGCGAUUUCUUUCCAAUGGUGAUUUCCGUCAUCCUGUAUAUCCUUAUAGUCUUCUUGCCUAUUUACAGGAGAACUUUCAAUAUUUCUUUUAGAAUGGGUUGAGUAUUGCUGUAUUCUUUUAGUUUUUGUUUAUCUGAGGAAUUAUUUCUCCUUCAAUUUAAAUGAUAAUCUUGCUGGGUAGAGUAUUGUAGGUUACAGUUUUUUCCCUUUGAAAGUUUUGUACCUCAUCACUGUCUCCUGGCCUGUGGCUUUUCUCCAUAGCUCUGAUCUUUACACCCAGCCCCUGCCCGAAUGUCUCAGGCUGUGGUGCCCUUGCCGGGUGGUGAUACCAGUGGUCUGUGCAGCUAACUUGGCCUUUCCCUUCUCAGACUGGCUAAUGUGAUUCUCCCUCUCCUUCUGCCCACCUCCCCUUUUGUUCUACCCAGUUUCAUGGAGUGUGGGUUCUUGCCCUUUUUGGAAAUCUGAGGUCUUCUGCCAGCAUUGAGUAGAGACUGAUUUUUUUUUUUUAGAUAUGUGUCUGGGGAGAUGGUGAGCCCCACAUCCUACUCCUUUGCCAUCUUGAUCCCACCUCUGGAUGAACAGAGCAUUUUUAACUUGCUGUGAGCACUUCAUUACUGGGGUCUUGUAAAACUUUAAAGUAUUUGUUAUGCAUUUUUCUAAAUUUUUUUUUAAUUUUCAGAAAGACACUGAAAUUACCAAGCAGAAAUUCUGUGACAUUUAUGUGAAAUAAAAUCUCACAGUGCAAGCCACCCUGCUGAUUUAACUAUUGGAUCCAACAACCUUUCAACCUGACACUUAGACCACCAUUGGUCUCAAUUAGUUCUACAAUUAGUCCUAAUUUAAUGGCAGUCAUUCUUUUUUAACAUAACCUGAUUUAGCAAGGAAUAAGCUGGACUGAGACUACCAAUUCACUUAAGACUGGCUAACAAAUAGUAAACAGAUGGCAAAAACUAUUACUCAAUUCAAAUCUGGGCUAAAAAUCAAAUAAUGACUGUAAGUAGAAAUCUAUAUGCUUUUUUUUAAAUUCACUUAAUAUCUAUUGCUUCCUUGGUACAUGUUAAAGAUUAAGGUUGGAAUAUUAAUAAAAGUUGUUAAAAUAUCACCUUUGGUUUAUAUAUACAUAUCAAUAUUAUAUCAUAAAUAUAUAUAAAUUGAAAAUUUUUAAUUUACAUAGCUGGACAUUUUAUAAUAUGAAACAUACAUAUUUGAAAUUUUGCUUUUUUUAGUGACCUUUUAAAAUUAGUAGCCAGAAUACCUAAUGUAAUUUUGGUAUGGAUGAAAUUAAUGAUGGUUAGCUCAUUUGGGCUAAGACUACAUAUAAACCAUCUGGUGUAGUAGACACUGGAAUAUUCCCUCCACGAGGAAAAGGACAUUAUCUUCCUGUGUAUUCCUUACACCUUCAACACUUAAUCCAGUUCUUUUAACUGUAAGCUCUAUAAAUGCUAAAUAAGUGAAUAGAUAUGUGUGGCAUUUGUUAAAUCUGAUAAUACACAUUGUGUAUAUAUAUAUACACACACAUAUAUGUGUGUGUAUAGUCUUUUUAAUAACACAACAUUUGCAAAAUAGCAUUUGACUCCAGGCUGUGCACUGGAGUAUUUUAGGAGUAUAUAGUGUCUUCCAAAACUUAUCAUUUACUGUUGGUCAAACUAUGAAUCUAAAAAUACAUCUUUGAAAUGAAUUUAUGUAAGUUACAGCACAGAGAAGUACACUCAUUUCCAGGGUGUAAAUGAACGUUGAAAAUAAGUAGAUAUCUUUGCAUCAUUUAAAGGUAUUAUGUUUCUUUAAUAUUUCAAAUAUGUUACAUGUUAAAGGACAUAACAUAAUGUCAUUGGCAAUGUUCUUCAUAAUUCUUUUAAAAUGUACUAAAUGAUAUUCUAUCUGCAUCAUUAGGUUACCGUACCACAGUGUCCUUUGAGAAUAUGGUUUUGCUAUCAUUUCUAGUUGUAAUUACCUCUCACAAAAACCGUACAGGCUUUUUGAAAUGACUUGAUGUGUGAAGGUUGAGAAGACAAUGCCUACCAUCACUGUAAAUAACUGCAGCUUUGAUGGCAUGGCGUGUUUAUUUCACACAGGCUCACUCUUACAAGGUGCCGAGUUUUUCAACCUCUCCACCAUUUAUGAUUUUUCUGAAAAGGCAAGUUUGAGAUAUUUUUUUUUGGAACUCAGAGUUUCUCAACCUUGACACUUUUGACGUGUUGGACCAGGUAAUUCUUUGCUUUAUGAGGGUAUACUGUGUGGUACGAUGUUUAGAAACCGCUCUUUUCUCCAUUUAUUAGAUACCAGUAGCAUCUUCCACCUCCAUUGUGAAAAUCAUGUUUCCAGAUAGUCAUAUAUUGCUGUAGGGGCAGACUCUCCCCUGGUUAUCAACUAUUGCAUGAGUUUCUUUUUCGUGCAUGUAUGUGUUUAGAAUAUUCAGGGGACUGUUACUGUCACUGUCAUUGAAUCUUAGUGUCAAAUUUUACCAGGCUCGAAAUUAAGAAUGAAAUGUUAAAUGCCACUCAGUGUAAAGAGAGACCCCAUGGAAAGUAUCCCAAAUGGGAACCAGGCACCUUGUCCACAGGCUUUCUUGGAGGCAGGACCAGCUCUACUUUACCAAACAGCACCUGAGCCAAACUUCUCCCCAUCAACUGGCCAAUAGAAGCGAAUGGUCAGAAAGGUGAUUCCCUCACUCCGAGAGGGCAGAGUCUUUUGUGACAGGCUUGCUUACUCAGGAAAUUCUUGCUGAUGGAAACUCCACAAGAGCUUGUAAAGUAUCCAGCCGUGUGCUGGGAGGAAAUAUUAGGUGUCUGCAUGAAACAGUCAGGUGUCAUAACCAGCCACUUAUUGUGGCCACUGUUUGCCAUGUUAUUCAUAAUGACUAUCUGAAGAUUCUUGAGUGGUUUUGUUUCUUUGCUAGCU